rnacentral:rRNA from 1 species
CAGCAGCCGCGGUAAAACGGGGGGGGCAAGUGUUAUUCGGAAUGACUGGGCGUAAAGGGCACGUAGGCGGUGAAAAGGGUGGAAAGUGAAAGUCGCCAAAACACUGGCGGGGUGCUUUCUUGACCAUUUCACUUGAGUGAGAUAGGGGAGAGUGGAAUUUCGUGUGGAGGGAUCAAAUCCUAAGAUAUACGAAGGAACGCCAACCGCGAAGGCAGCUCUCUGGGUCCCCACUGACGCUGGGGUGCGAAAGCAUGGGGAGCAAACAGGAUCAGAUACCCCAGUAGUCCCUGUCUCUUAUACA